rnacentral:rRNA from 1 species
GCUCCAAUAGCGUAUAUUAAAGUUGUUGCGGUUAAAAAGCUCGUAGUUGGGUUUCUGUUGAAAACUUUCGGUCCGCUCUAUGAGUGUGCAUCUGGAGAGUUUCCAGCAUCCUCGUGAAUUUCGCUUCAUGCUUCACUGCAGGGGGCGUAAGCACGACCUUUACUUUGAGGAAAAUAGAGUGUUCAUUGCAGGCAAUCGCC